rnacentral:lncRNA from 1 species
CAAAGUAUAAAAUUUAAUUUACAGUGACAGGUGAGCCCACGAACGACCAAAAGUAUUAAAAGCGGUAAACCUACAGUUUUUGAGGAUGCAAGUCCAACUGUAGCCCUCAACAAAGUGAGCUAUCUACCGACUAUCCUGAACCUGAAAUGGGUGGAAAGGAGGGUGGUGAGACUAUAUAAUCCUAGUGAGUAAACAAAUACCAUCUAAAAUAUCUAAAGCUGAGUAAAUGGAGAUAGAUUAAAAUAGAUUAUCAUACUGUAAUUCAUCACCUUUUAAACUCAUUUCAACCAAAUUAAAUCAGUUCAUAUAAAUCGAGUAUUCAACAUGGCUUAUGAAUUUCUUAAAACUUUGGCUCGUGCCAAAAUCAUUCUCAUACUCAGUUAUCAGGAAUACCUUGGUCGAGGGCUAUCCCAACCGAGUCCACCAAGGCUGUUAAAAAGUUAUGUACACAUAAAUCAUGUUUUUAUUUUGAAAACAUAGUCAUUCCUUGGCAUUGGCUGAGUUCACCCUCACGUGGUGGUUUGGUGUGAAGUGAACUCUAAAGUGUUAACCUCAGGAGCUAUCCAUCCGCGCCUCUCAUACUGAGGUAUGAAUAUAAUAGGGUUACCAUGCCCCCUCUAAUAGGCUGGUCCACGGAACCCGUCCACUGCAGCGACUAAUCAAUCACCCACCAAUGUAAUAAAAUUUAACAGCAUGACAUGAAAAUUUUAUCAUUAUCCAGCCUAUCAAGGCAAACAACAGUUUAUACAUUUUCAACACAAAUACCAAUUCAGCCAUUCAUGCCAAUAUUGCUAUAAGCCAAUAAAUUAGAACCAUAAAUUCACAAUACAUCAAAUGGUCUCCAAUUACUCUAUUUUCAAAGCCAUCAUUCAAUUUCAAGACAAUUUAUAAAAUCAUUUCAUUUAAACACAUUUUGUUUAUAAAACAUAAAGAUUUACCAUUUAAACUCAUUUUUCUAUCAAAUCACAAAAACAAUUAAAAACUAAUUUAGAUAAUUAAGACGAUAGUAAGGUUACUCACUAUAAUGGGAAUCGAAUUCCAAGUACUCCGAUUCUUGAUCUUCGGGUGCUAUCUCUUUACUUUUGUCAGAAUGCUCACCACUUAGACAUAAUGCACAAUAAGCCAUUUACUACAUUUGUGCUAAAUUAUUAUAAAACCAAUUCAGGCUCUAUACUAAUGCAUGAAAUGGGAUGUGAAAUACUCGGGUAACUAUCUAAAUACAAUGUUCAAUAUAAAUUCAAUUAUGUCCCUAAAUAAAACGGUAUUAGCCUAAUUCAAUCUAUCACCCGAUUAAUUGGCCAAUACGUCCAAUUCAACUCCAAAUAAUUCCAUUUUUCUCCCAAUACUCCAAAUCAUCAAACACAAAUUAAAUAACUUGAAAUAUGGUAAAAUCAUCCUCACAUUUUCUCUUGGAAAAUUCGGCCAUGGUGGGUGCACCAACACUAUAAUUUUUAAAGCUUGAUUCUCACACCAUAAAUCACUAAUUCCUAACCAAAUCACUUGAAAUAAAAUCAAAAUCAUCCUCAAUAUUCCACAUGGAGAAUUCGGCCAAUCAUGGGUGAUGGAAGAACAUGAAUUUUUCUUGCUUGAUUUUCAUGCUACAAUCACCAAUCAACUAAAAACACUAAAAUACAUUGAAAUCUAACCAAAUCAAGCAUCAAAACCUCUCUCUAAGUGUUCAGCCAGGAAGAUACCCAUCAUGAAAUCAUGUGAUUCAACCAUGGAAAAUGCAAAAGAAUGUAUGGGAAAGGUAGAUCACAAGUCAAAAUUAAGAAAUUUUACCUUUGAUUGCUUGAUUACUUGCAAUCCACCAAAUUUCUCUUGAAUUUUCACCCUAGGGUUCUUGUUCUUUCUUUUCUUCCUUUGUUCUUGCUUUGGCCGGC